UAUCGUCUCCCUCAAGGCAAGUAAAAUCUGAGAGAUGGAGAUAGAAAAUCCAGGAAUGGCUACUGAAUUAAGAAGGAGCAAGAAAGGACAAAACAAGUGUUUUUAGGAAGGUGGCAACACCUCCGGUUGGUCUAAAGGAUCUAUGGGGAAGCAGCUGCAGACCCAGUUCACUGCUCCAGGGUCCUGCCACAGCCAUAAGUCUAGAAAUGACCCAGAUCCUCAAACAGAGUUUUCCUGUGUCCCAGGAAGAGUUGCCCACUGGCCAGUUUCCUCACCUUCAGCUCAUCAGGCAAAGCGGGGAAGAAGGCAGGCUGGAGUGCCUGGAAAGGACAGAGAGGAGGCAUCCAGGUGGAGGGAGAAGAGAUCCUUACAGGUAAAAGAGACGCAUGGUUGGGCUGGGUGCCAGAGUUGAUUUCCCCUCCUCUCUCC
rnacentral:lncRNA from 10 species